UACGUAGGGUGCGAGCGUUAAUCGGAAUUACUGGGCGUAAAGCGUGCGCAGGCGGUUCUGCAAGUCAGAUGUGAAAUCCCCGGGCUCAACCUGGGAACUGCGUCUGAUACUGGUUGGCUUGAAUCCGGGAGAGGGAUGCAGAAUUCCAGGUGUAGCGGUGAAAAUGCGUAGAUAUCUGGAGGAAUACCGGUGGCGAAGGCGGCAUCCUGGGACCGGCAUUGACGCUGAGGAGCGAAAGCUAGGGGAGCAAACGGGG
rnacentral:rRNA from 1 species